rnacentral:rRNA from 1 species
GAUGAACGCUGGCGGCGUGCCUAAUACAUGCAAGUCGAGCGAACAGAUGAGGAGCUUUCUCCUCUGACGUUAGCGGCGGACGGGUGGGUAACACGUGGAUAACCUACCUAUAUUACUGGGGGAACUUCGGGGAACCGGUGCUAAUACCGGAUAAUAUAUUGAACCGCAUGAUUCAAUAGUGAAAGACGCUUUUGCUGUCACUUAUAGAUGGAUCCGCGCCGCAUUAGCUAGUUGGUAAGGUAACGGCUUACCAAGGCAACGAUGCGUAGCCGACCUGAGAGGGUGAUCAGCCACACUGGAACUGAGACACGGUCCAGACUCCUACGGGAGGCAGCAGUGGGGAAUAUUCAGCAAUGGGCGAAAGCCUGACCGAGCAACGCCGCGUGAGUGAUGAAGGUCUUCGGAUCGUAAAGCUCUGUUAUUAGGGAAGAACAAAUGUGUAAGUAAAUCUGCACGUCUUGACGGUACCUAAUCAGAAAGCCACGGCUAACUACGUG